rnacentral:lncRNA from 1 species
CAAAAAGCAAAAAAGGGACGGCUACACAAUACUAGCCGUUUCCACAUUUUUUCAUCUAAAAAGAGAACCAACAAUUCUCACAGGCUCAAUUCCAAAAGCUUCAGCCACACCCAUCAUCUUCUGCGAGCUGCCACCCUAACUUCCCCCAAAAAUCGCAAAAAAUCCCAACUGAGAACCAGCCCAAAAAACCACCAUCUGCUCUUUCUGGAACCACCUCUAAACCUUCCUUCAAAUCGCCCAAACAUCACCAAAAACUAGCUAGAAUUUUCAGCUAAAAAAUGCAACAACACAGCCCCGAGAAAGCUGUAAAACCAUCUCAAAAAAUGUGAAAACAACAGCUCAAGCCGCUGCCAUUUUCGCCGAGGAAAUAGCUUCAAUCUCCUCCAUUAAUAUCGUGAAGCUCUGUGCUCGAGUUUGUCGCCAACGAGAUUCACACAAACCGCUGUGUCGAGUUCCGGUUAGUGGCUUUACGUAUUUGUCUUAUGGACUUGUAGAGGAAAUAUUUGAAGUCAAUUUUCAUCUCUUUCUAUAUUAAGGUUAAAUAUUGGUGCCGUGUACUGAUGUGUUCUCUACUAAGUGAUGUGUAUAUGUGAUGCGUAUGCAUAUAGAGUGUACACAAAUUGAAGAAAAAGGCUAAUUAACUAGCUAAUGUUGCUCUAAAAUAAUUUUUACAUCUGAUUAUUUGGUCGAUCGUAACAAAUGAACUGAUAAACCGUAUAUGUACAAUAUGUUCCAUCAAAGGUCCUUUGUAUUCAUUGGUUUAUUUCUUUUAAUAUUAUAAUUUGCUGCCAGUAUGUUUCAUACAAGAUUACAAGCAAAACCAUUUCUAUUCCUAGACAGAAAACUUUUUAGAGCAUGCUAAGUGAUGGGUUGGUUGUUGUGUUUGACAGAAACUCUGUUAUAGAUAAAAUUGCUACCAUUGUUACCUUGAGUUUGGAUUCAGAUCAUAAUGAAUUGUUGACUAUUUUUAGCAUAACUUAGCCAAAUUGGGUUGUCCUUUUUUUUCUGGUAAUUAUCUUUUCAAUACGAGCUGGCGAGAGUAGGAUUAAAUUUACUAGCUUUGUUCCUGCGUAGGUGGAGAAUUACAGAUUCCUUUGACUUCUAUUCUCUAAUGAAUUUCAUGUUCCAUAUUGACAUAUUUGUAAUGUAGGGAAACUUUGGAUAAUGAGGAGAGUUCUUGUAGUAUUAUUUUAAGGAAUAAAUAGAAAGAAAUUUGAUAGUGCUUUAUUGGUUCAAUAGCUAAAUUGGGUAUAAAUUGAAAUGAUUUUGACACUUUCUUACUGUUCCUUUUGAUCAAAACAGAAAGAAAUUUGAUAGUUUUUAUUGGUUCCUUUUGAAUAAUCGCUAGUAUGCUUUAGGCACGACUUAAUCUAUCAUCGUGAUUGUCUACACGUUCGCGUGACAUAUUUACGAUUUUUAAAAUAAAUUGAGGCAUGCGUUCUCGCAACUUCAGCCAAACUUUCUUAAUAUUAACAAAGCGUAAUUGAUUGUGUACACAUACGCGUAACAUGAUUCCUAAUGCGCCGAACGAAAUGAGUAUAUGUACGCGUGACUCGUUUUAAGAUAAUUCUAAAAUUAUGAAUAAUCAAGCAAUUAAAAGCGGUUAAAUGGGUAAAUGCACAUAGGUUUGAAAAAAUAAGUAAUUAAAACAAUUAAUUAAGUGUAACAAUCAGACCGGUCGUUUUAAGAAUUAACGCCAUGAUCCCCUAUGUCGUGCCCCCUUUUUCCUCCGUAGAGUCCGGGUUUCGACAUUCACUGGGUGUAAUGACUCAUUUCCUUUUGGGAAUUGGAUAUUUGAAGAGUCGCCACCUAACGGAUUAUGGUGCGUUAGAGCACCUAGAGUGAUUAACUCUUGAGUUGGUUUGUAUUACUAGAGAUUAUUGUAAGGGCUCAAAGUAACCUCGAGGGGAAGGUGUUAGACACCUCUCUUGGUCUACAACUGUGGGUCCCGACCGAACUUAUAUUCACAAAUUAGUCCACAUAAAUAGUUGAAUCAAAUAAGUUGCUAGUAAGGCACCUUGGAUAGUUCAAGUAGUAAGAUAAAGGUUUGAACAAGUUGUAAAAGACGAAAGUUUUAAAUAAAGAAAGGAUUUGGUAAAGAGGGGUCGUAGGUUGUUUAUCCUAUAGGAUCACCCCAUGCAAUGUCCGGUAAACACUCCUCGAUGAGGGGCUACACGUGACAUUAACGCGUAGUCAUCAUAUCCCAUGUCUACCCUUCCCAUCCCCUUAUUGGUCAUACAAAGCGAGUGUUUGGUCAAUGAUUCCUAUUGCGUACUGCUAGCCAUCCCUUCUUAAUAGUCCUGGAGGGAGUUAGGACCCCUACCUAUAGGCAGUUCUAGACGUACCCCUAAGGUUUAGAAAGGCGAAAACUCUAAGGCGACAGUCAAAACAUUUAGGACUUUACACAUAAUGGGAGCAAAUAAGAGGCUCACAGUUUCCUCCUCAAGUAAACAUACAAGCAACACGACUCAAACACAAUUAAGGUCUUUAUUAAUCAAAGUCCUAAAGCAGGAUCUCUAAGUGACUAUGCAGAACAAACCAAACUUUUAUAUUUGGAAGUUCUAACCUAGUAGUUGCGUAGGGACUCCCUUUUAAAAUCCUGUUAGAAUCAGAAAUGCUAAGCGACAGAGACAACUACAGGAAAAUGCAGUUUUGAAGACGCCUUAAAGCUUGCCUAUAUGCAGUAUAAUGGCGUCUAUGUUAAUGCAGAACCAAAUAGGUUUUUCGGAAUAAACUCAUUUAAUACCUAUAAGCAUGAUAUCUAAUGAGAUUAAAGCAAUUUUGAAAGAACUUGUUUCAGGAAUUGUUUGACACUUAAUAAGACUAGUUUUGAAAAUGAACUAGGAGUAAUGAAGUUUUUUAUUAGGUUAAUUAGAUUAUUAGACAGAAUUGUGAGUAGAGAUCCCUAUAGGUUUGAUAUCUAAACGUAUUACUAAUUUUAGUCGAUUUGCAGCAACAUACAGAAAGACUUAUUAGAACUAAAUCGGAGUUGAGUCUUAUAGGUAUGGCAUCAACUGAUUUAAGACAUAAUGGUUUGGAACCUAUAAACAUGGUUUCUAACAUGAUAAAAUGCAGAACCUUAUGAACAUGAUUUUUACUUGAUGCAAACGAAAUUAGAAGUGAAAUCCUGUAGGCAUGAUUUCUAUUAGGCAAAGCAAUCAGAUUCAAAAGAGCAAACCUAUGAUCAUGCUUUCUACUUAUGCAAGCGGUUAGACUUCACAAAUAAGGUCCUAAGUGCAGGAUUUCUACCCGUAUUACCCUUUAAAGUAUGCAUCUACCCACCCUUUACUAAAUACCCCAAAUAUCUGCUUACAAAUUAUUACAUGCCAAUGAAUGAAUUACGUAAGUAGAAAUAGAAAAUCAAGAAGAUAUUCUAUAGGGAGCCUAUAAUUAGGCCCAAGUUCCUCAAAGCCUCCAAUGGUCUCACAAGCCUCAAUUCCACAGAAAAAUCAGAGUCUAGGUGCAUCAAAGUUCCCUAAGGAUCUCAAGGACCCCGGGCGAUGCUUACACCUAGACCUAGCAAACAAGCAUUGAACCAGUGCAGUGUGGAAAGGCCAACCUCAGUAUACCAGAGUUCAGAGGGCUCUCAAGAGGAUCCCAAGGCAAUACACAUACUAGAGGGGGCAGAACUUAUUGACUAAGAGUGAAGUGAAAGUGCAGGACACAAGUUGAAAGAGGUUUAUUAAAGACUGGAUUAGAAAGUCUGCUUUGAAAGCAAUUAGUUAAAGCAAUAGAUAUCGUUUGAAAAAGAGGUAGGAGUAGUAAACAAAGCUUAAACACCUUAAGAUAGGAUCACACACAGCUAGUUUACAGAAUCCAAAUGAAUUCAGUAGUUACAUAUGAGUCAAGGGGUUUGGGAUACACAAACAUUGGACUGCAAACACAUAACCCAGCAAGGGUCUUAGGACUGGUUUGGACAUGCUUAGAAAUAGUUGACACUAACAUAAUCACAAAUCAGUCAGGAAGAACACAAACACAUAGAGGGGUAUAGGGAUUUGGGGAUUCAUAAGAUGGUAAGUACGUAGUAAGUAAAAGACAAUUGACAAGGCAUGCUUUGAAACACACAUAAGGGAAUACAUUAAUCUAAAGGGAAGGGGAGACAUAACAACAUACUGAUAAUGUAACUUAACUACAAGUUUCACAAUAGAACCACAAGUAGAAACAACCUAGAAAUAAGAGAAACUAAAGCAGUAAGAGAAGCAUGUUAUUGUUGAGGCUUUAAAUUAAAACUAGGACAUACUAGUGAAGAGAGAAGUAAGCAGAAUGAAAGAACAAGAGAGCACAAAUGAUUAGCCUUGGCUUGCAGCCAGCUAAUAACAACAAAUAGCACAAGAGAGAGGGGAGAGCAGAGAUUUUUAGUAAGAGAGGUAGUUUUGAAAACCAAAAAUGUUCAUGUCUAUUAAUGAAAGACUUAGGGUAUUUAUAGAUUUGAAAUAGGUAGAAAAUAAGGUAACAAGUAAAGGUUUAGCACAAUUAUGGAAGUAAUCAUAAUUAGAAUCCAAUUAAUACAAGUACUCCCCUUUAAUCAAGGAAUCACAGCUUAAAUGGAUACCAACAGGGGUAAUUAAGGAAAGAAAAUUAGUUGAGAAAGAUUGAUUUUUACCAUAUAAGGGGUAGUAAAAGUAUUGAGCAUAUGAUUGAGUCUAAGUACAGAAUAUACCAAUUAAGAAAAGGAUUCAGUAAGAAUGAAGUACCACAACAAAUAAGGAAAUAGAAUCAGUCAAUUUAAAUAAAUGAGUAGAAAUUUAGGGUUUUGAAAGAAAAUCUUGCAAUCAAACCAUCAAUUAAGAAAAUUAGAAUCAAAUCAAGAGAGGAUCAUGAUUCUAUAUUGCAACACAUAAAUAGAGAAGAAUGAACAAACGUAGAAAACAAGCAAAGUCAGCCAUAUCGACAGAAAGAAGCAAGAGAUGAACCAACAAAAUGAACACAGUCAUGUAGAAGUGACAUAAGUAGGCUAAAGACUCAGUAGAAAACCCAUUCGAAGCAUGGUAACCAACAGAAACUUAACAGAAUCAGGUAAUCAUGCUAACACACAGAACUGAAGCAAAGAAGAUCUUGAAAAUUAGGGCUUUUUAGCAGAGUCGAGUUAAAAAGCAGUAGGAACAUAAGAUCAGUCACAAUACACAAGGAAAUAGGCUUAAUCAUAAAGAAAAUCGGUUAAAACAAGUGUAGAAAGAACUCCGAGAAGCCCUAAUUUUUUAAAGAAAGUAGAAACGAUUUAAAGUUGAGGAUGUUUCAGAAGAAGUUCGAGAAUAGUGCAAAUCAUAGGAAGAAACAGACCUAAAGCAUAAAAAUAGCACAAAUUUGAGAGAUUCAGACGAGAGUUAGGGUUUCAAAGGAAACCCAAAUAGAAAUCGAAAGAACCUGUUGUAAACUUCACCGAUCGUAAUAUAUAAGGUGUGAUUUUGCCCAAAAUCACACCGGAGAAGCCAUGAGUAACAGAAACAAAAACCCUAGAUCCAAAUCGUCAUGGCCCAGGACCCUUGAAGGCCUUAGAGAUGAUGAGCAAGGUGGUGGAGUGACCAUUGGAGGCUUGGGGUUGAAAGGUAGUCGCCGGAGAUGACCGGAGAAGGAGGCGGUGGUUGAAGAAUAAUUAGGGUUAGGUUGAGAGAGAAGAGAGACGAGAGCAUCUGAAGACGACGGGGGUUUGGAAAUGAGUGGGGUUAGGUGGUCGUUUAGGAAUUAAAAAGGAAAGGGUAUGUGUGGACCGUUGAUCUGGGAGAUCAACGGUCAGGAUUCAAUCGGGUAGGUGGGUUUUGGGUUUGGGUAAGGGUUUAUAGGGUCUGGGUCGGGUUAUUUAAUAGGAAAUUGGGCUGGGGAGGGGUCCGAUUUGGGCUACAAUUGAAAGCCAAAUCUGACUAUUAUUUAAAUAGCCAGUUUUCCUAUUUUAAUUUUAAUAAAUAAUAAUUAAUUUGAAAAAUAAUUUAAGAUGAUAAAAUGAUUUAAAUUACAUAAUUAACAUUUUAGAAAUAUAGGGACAAAUUUUAUGCAUAUAAAAUAUAAUUAUAUCUUAAAAUGGGCUAACGUUGCAGUUAUAUGCAAUUUAGCUUAAAAAAUACUAAAUGUAAUUAUAAAAAUGCAUAAAAAUUAUAUUAGCCAUAUUUUGGCAUAAGUAUAGAAAUAAAAUAAAUAAAUUAUCAAAACAAUAAUUUUAAAAAUAAUUAUUGGGGAUUUUAUGAAUAAAAGAGGAGAAAAUAAAUCCACUUAAACCCUUAAAAUUAUGGGAAAAAUUAUAAAAGCCUUGUGCAUGCUUAUAUAUGCAUAUAUAUGCUAUUUUGAAGGUAUUUAUGCAUGUUUAAAAUAUAUAGGGAAACGUUGGGUAUCAACACCCUAUUAACUACUUACCCCGUGGUUGUUUCUAUUAUUGUGAGUAGCCGGGAGGGUUUAUUUGGAGUUUCAGAGAGUUUUGGGACACUUAGUCCCUAAAUGAGAGCUUAAGUUUUGAAAAUUUGACCGUAGUCGGAACAGUGUAAAGACGGCCUCGGAAUGGAAUUCUGUUGGUUCUGUUAGCUCCGUUGGGUGAUUUCGGGCUUAGGGGCGUGUUUGGAUUGUGUUUUGGAGACCCGUAGCUUAUUUAGGCUUGAAAUGCCGAAAGUUGAAUUUUCGAAAUUUCCGGUUCGAUAGUGAGAUUUUGAUAUCGGGGUUGGAACAGAAUUCUGAAAGAUGGAGUAGCUCCGUAGUGUUGAAUGUGACGUGCUUGCAAAAUUUCAGGUCAUUUGGGCGAGGUAUGAUAGACAUUUUGAUCGAAAGCGUAAUUUGAGAGUUUUUGGAGUUUUUAGGCUUGGAUCCGAUGUUAAAUUGGUGUUUUGUUGUUAUUUUGAGCGUUCCGAGGAUUGGAACAAGUUUGAAUAAUAUUUUAGGAUUGGUUGAAAUGUUUGGUUGAGGUCUCGGGGGCCUCGAUUGUGUUUCGGAUGCUCAACGGGUCAUUUUUGGAACUUAGAGAAUUGCAGAAAAAAAUUGCAGCAGUCAGUUGGUUUCCUUCUUCGCAUUCGCGAGUGGGUCUCGCGUUCGCGAAGAGGAGCUGAGGCUGGUGGAGGUUUAAUUCUUCGCGUUCGCGAAGGUAUUCCUGCGUUUGUGAGGCUGUGGGUCUUAUACCUACGUGUUCGCGAAGAUGGUCUCACGUUCGCGUAAGAGGAGGGAAAAUGGCCAUCGCGUUCACGACUUGGACAUCGUGUUCGCGAAAGAGGAAGGCUGGCCAGUGGAAUUUUGUGCAUCGCGUUUGCGACAGUGGUCUCGCGUUUGCGAAGAAGAACGCGUCUGGGCAGAACUUAAAUUUCUAAAUCGAGGGUUUUGAGUUCAUAUCACAAAAUAGAAUUGGGAGCUCGGUAGGAGACGAAUUUUGGAGAGUUUUUCGUAUGUAGUUUGUGGGUAAUGAUUUUUAACUCCUUUUUACUGAUAACCCAUUAAUCUAAAUAUGAAUUUAUCAUCUAAUUUCGGAUUUGGGGUGAGAAGUUGGGGAAAAAUUUAGAAAAUUUCAUUAAUCUUAUUAUCGAGUUUUGAUUGGGGAUUUGAUAUUGGAUUUGGAUAAUUUUUGUAUGGUUGGACUUGUGAGUUAAUGAGGGUUCAUAAUCCGUAACUUUUACCCAAUUCCGAGAUGUGGGACCGGGGGGCAUUUUGGUUAUUUUAUCUAAUUUCGCGUAUUAGCUUAGAAUAUAUUUGUGAUAUCAAUUACUUGAAGUUAUAUUUACAUUAUGCAAUUGAAUUGAAUAGAUUUGGGUCAUUUGGAGUCGAGUACUC